GGGUUGUGAGGUUAAGCGACUAAGCGUACACGGUGGAUGCCCUGGCAGUCAGAGGCGAUGAAGGACGUGCUAAUCUGCGAAAAGCGUCGGUAAGGUGAUAUGAACCGUUACAGCCGGCGAUGUCCGAAUGGGGAAACCCAGUGCAAUUCGUUGCACUAUCGUUAACUGAAUACAUAGGUUAACGAGGCGAACCGGGGGAACUGAAACAUCUAAGUACCCCGAGGAAAAGAAAUCAACCGAGAUUCCCCCAGUAGCGGCGAGCGAACGGGGAGCAGCCCAGAGUCUGAAUCAGCUUGUGUGUUAGUGGAACGGUCUGGAAAGUCCGACGGUACAGGGUGAUAGUCCCGUACACCAAAAUGCACAGGCUGUGAACUCGAAGAGUAGGGCGGGACACGUGGUAUCCUGUCUGAAUAUGGGGGGACCAUCCUCCAAGGCUAAAUACUCCUGACUGACCGAUAGUGAACCAGUACCGUGAGGGAAAGGCGAAAAGAACCCCGGCGAGGGGAGUGAAAAAGAACCUGAAACCGUGUACGUACAAGCAGUGGGAGCACCUUCGGGUGUGACUGCGUACCUUUUGUAUAAUGGGUCAGCGACUUAUAUUCUGUAGCAAGGUUAACCGUAUAGGGGAGCCGCAGGGAAACCGAGUCUUAACUGGGCGUUAAGUUGCAGGGUAUAGACCCGAAACCCGGUGAUCUAGCCAUGGGCAGGUUGAAGGUUGGGUAACACUAACUGGAGGACCGAACCGACUAAUGUUGAAAAAUUAGCGGAUGACUUGUGGCUGGGGGUGAAAGGCCAAUCAAACCGGGAGAUAGCUGGUUCUCCCCGAAAGCUAUUUAGGUAGCGCCUCGUGAACUCAUCUUCGGGGGUAGAGCACUGUUUCGGCUAGGGGGUCAUCCCGACUUACCAACCCGAUGCAAACUACGAAUACCGAAGAAUGUUAUCACGGGAGACACACGGCGGGUGCUAACGUCCGUCGUGAAGAGGGAAACAACCCAGACCGCCAGCUAAGGUCCCAAAGUCAUGGUUAAGUGGGAAACGAUGUGGGAAGGCACAGACAGCCAGGAUGUUGGCUUAGAAGCAGCCAUCAUUUAAAGAAAGCGUAAUAGCUCACUGGUCGAGUCGGCCUGCGCGGAAGAUGUAACGGGGCUAAACCAUGCACCGAAGCUGCGGCAGCGACACUAUGUGUUGUUGGGUAGGGGAGCGUUCUGUAAGCCUGCGAAGGUGGCCUGUGAGGGUUGCUGGAGGUAUCAGAAGUGCGAAUGCUGACAUAAGUAACGAUAAAGCGGGUGAAAAGCCCGCUCGCCGGAAGACCAAGGGUUCCUGUCCAACGUUAAUCGGGGCAGGGUGAGUCGACCCCUAAGGCGAGGCCGAAAGGCGUAGUCGAUGGGAAACAGGUUAAUAUUCCUGUACUUGGUGUUACUGCGAAGGGGGGACGGAGAAGGCUAUGUUAGCCGGGCGACGGUUGUCCCGGUUUAAGCAUGUAGGCUGAUUAUCCAGGCAAAUCCGGAUAAUCAAGGCUGAGGUGUGAUGACGAGGCACUACGGUGCUGAAGUAACAAAUGCCCUGCUUCCAGGAAAAGCCUCUAAGCAUCAGGUAACAUCAAAUCGUACCCCAAACCGACACAGGUGGUCAGGUAGAGAAUACCAAGGCGCUUGAGAGAACUCGGGUGAAGGAACUAGGCAAAAUGGUGCCGUAACUUCGGGAGAAGGCACGCUGGUGUGUAGGUGAAGUCCCUGCGGAUGGAGCUGAGACCAGUCGAAGAUACCAGCUGGCUGCAACUGUUUAUUAAAAACACAGCACUGUGCAAACACGAAAGUGGACGUAUACGGUGUGACGCCUGCCCGGUGCCGGAAGGUUAAUUGAUGGGGUUAUCCGUAAGGAGAAGCUCUUGAUCGAAGCCCCGGUAAACGGCGGCCGUAACUAUAACGGUCCUAAGGUAGCGAAAUUCCUUGUCGGGUAAGUUCCGACCUGCACGAAUGGCGUAAUGAUGGCCAGGCUGUCUCCACCCGAGACUCAGUGAAAUUGAACUCGCUGUGAAGAUGCAGUGUACCCGCGGCAAGACGGAAAGACCCCGUGAACCUUUACUAUAGCUUGACACUGAACAUUGAGCCUUGAUGUGUAGGAUAGGUGGGAGGCUUUGAAGCGUGGACGCCAGUCUGCGUGGAGCCAACCUUGAAAUACCACCCUUUAAUGUUUGAUGUUCUAACGUUGGCCCCUUACCGGGGUUGCGGACAGUGUCUGGUGGGUAGUUUGACUGGGGCGGUCUCCUCCCAAAGCGUAACGGAGGAGCACGAAGGUUAGCUAAUCCUGGUCGGACAUCAGGAGGUUAGUGCAAUGGCAUAAGCUAGCUUGACUGCGAGCGUGACGGCGCGAGCAGGUGCGAAAGCAGGUCAUAGUGAUCCGGUGGUUCUGAAUGGAAGGGCCAUCGCUCAACGGAUAAAAGGUACUCCGGGGAUAACAGGCUGAUACCGCCCAAGAGUUCAUAUCGACGGCGGUGUUUGGCACCUCGAUGUCGGCUCAUCACAUCCUGGGGCUGAAGUAGGUCCCAAGGGUAUGGCUGUUCGCCAUUUAAAGUGGUACGCGAGCUGGGUUUAGAACGUCGUGAGACAGUUCGGUCCCUAUCUGCCGUGGGCGCUGGAGAAUUGAGGGGGGCUGCUCCUAGUACGAGAGGACCGGAGUGGACGCAUCACUGGUGUUCGGGUUGUCAUGCCAAUGGCACUGCCCGGUAGCUAAAUGCGGAAGAGAUAAGUGCUGAAAGCAUCUAAGCACGAAACUUGCCCCGAGAUGAGUUCUCCCUGAGAGAGAAG
rnacentral:rRNA from 1 species